rnacentral:sRNA from 1 species
AGUAGCAUUGGAAUUCCGUCCUCUCCGCUUCUGUCACCA